rnacentral:tRNA from 1 species
GGUAAGAUGGCUGAAUUAUUAGGUUAAAAAUUGUAAAUUUUUAUAUGGUUAAUACCUCUUAUCG